GACGAACGCUGGCGGCGUGCUUAACACAUGCAAGUCGAACGGAAAGGCCCCUUUGGGGGUACUCGAGUGGCGCACGGGUGAGUAACACGUGAGUAACCUGCCCUUGACUUCGGGAUAACUUCAGGAAACUGGGGCUAAUACCGGAUAGGAAUCCUUGCUGCAUGGUGGGGGUUGGAAAGCUUCGGCGGGUUUGGAUGGACUCGCGGCUUAUCAGCUUGUUGGUGGGGUAGUGGCUUACCAAGGCUUUGACGGGUAGCCGGCCUGAGAGGGCGACCGGCCACAUUGGGACUGAGAUACGGCCCAGACUCCUACGGGAGGCAGCAGUGGGGAAUAUUGCACAAUGGGCGGAAGCCUGAUGCAGCAACGCCGCGUGCGGGAUGACGGCCUUCGGGUUGUAAACCGCUUUCAGCAGGGGCGAAGCUUGUGGUGACGGUACCUGCAGAAGAAGCACCGGCUAACUACGUG
rnacentral:rRNA from 1 species